UACGUAGGGGGCUAGCGUUGUCCGGAAUCAUUGGGCGUAAAGAGCGUGUAGGCGGUCCGGUAAGUCCGCUGUGAAAGUCCAGGGCUCAACCCUGGAAAGCGGGUGGAUACUGCCGGGCUAGAAUCCGGAAGAGGCGAGUGGAAUUCCUGGUGUAGCGGUGGAAUGCGCAGAUAUCAGGAGGAACACCAAUAGCGAAGGCAGCUCGCUGGGACGGUAUUGACGCUAAGGCGCGAAAGCGUGGGGAGCAAACAGG
rnacentral:rRNA from 1 species